rnacentral:rRNA from 1 species
UACGGAGGGGGUUAGCGUUGUUCGGAAUGACUGGGCGUAAAGCGCGCGUAGGCGGAUGGGCAAGUCUGCUGUGAAAGCUCCUGGCUUAACCGGGAGUGGUCGGUGGAAACUGCCAAUCUGGAGGACGGUAGAGGUAGGUAGAAUUCCCGGUGUAGUGGUGAAAUGCGUAGAGAUCGGGAGGAACACCAGUGGCGAAGGCGACUACCUGGCCGUGUUCUUGACGCUGAGGCGCGAAAGCUAGGGGAGCAAACGGG